UUCUCCCCAAGAGUGUGUGUGUGAGUGUGUGGUUGUUUGUCCUGUAUGUCUCUGUGUUGCUCUGCGACAGACUGCCGACCUGUCCAGGGUGCACCCCGCCUCUCGUCCAAAACUUUCACUGGAGAUAGGCACCAGGACCCCUCCCGGCCCCAUUGGGGAGAAGAGUGUACAGAAAAUAGA